rnacentral:rRNA from 1 species
CAGUCGCCACGGUAAUACGGAGGGUGCAAGCGUUAAUCGGAAUUACUGGGCGUAAAGCGCACGCAGGCGGUUUGUUAAGUCAGAUGUGAAAUCCCCGAGCUUAACUUGGGAACUGCAUUUGAAACUGGCAAGCUAGAGUCUUGUAGAGGGGGGUAGAAUUCCAGGUGUAGCGGUGAAAUGCGUAGAGAUCUGGGGGAAUACCGGUGGCGAAGGCGGCCCCCUGGACAAAGACUGACGCUCAGGUGCGAAAGCGUGGGGAGCAAACAGGAUUAGAUACCCGUGUAGUCCCUGUCUCUUAUAC